GGGUUGUGAGGUUAAGCGACUAAGCGUACACGGUGGAUGCCCUGGCAGUCAGAGGCGAUGAAGGACGUGCUAAUCUGCGAUAAGCGUCGGUAAGGUGAUAUGAACCGUUAUAACCGGCGAUUUCCGAAUGGGGAAACCCAGUGUGAUUCGUCACACUAUCAUUAACUGAAUCCAUAGGUUAAUGAGGCGAACCGGGGGAACUGAAACAUCUAAGUACCCCGAGGAAAAGAAAUCAACCGAGAUUCCCCCAGUAGCGGCGAGCGAACGGGGAGCAGCCCAGAGCCUGAAUCAGUGUGUGUGUUAGUGGAAGCGUCUGGAAAGGCGCGCGAUACAGGGUGACAGCCCCGUACACAAAAAUGCACAUGCUGUGAGCUCGAUGAGUAGGGCGGGACACGUGGUAUCCUGUCUGAAUAUGGGGGGACCAUCCUCCAAGGCUAAAUACUCCUGACUGACCGAUAGUGAACCAGUACCGUGAGGGAAAGGCGAAAAGAACCCCGGCGAGGGGAGUGAAAAAGAACCUGAAACCGUGUACGUACAAGCAGUGGGAGCACAGAGCAAUCUGUGUGACUGCGUACCUUUUGUAUAAUGGGUCAGCGACUUAUAUUCUGUAGCAAGGUUAACCGAAUAGGGGAGCCGAAGGGAAACCGAGUCUUAACUGGGCGUUAAGUUGCAGGGUAUAGACCCGAAACCCGGUGAUCUAGCCAUGGGCAGGUUGAAGGUUGGGUAACACUAACUGGAGGACCGAACCGACUAAUGUUGAAAAAUUAGCGGAUGACUUGUGGCUGGGGGUGAAAGGCCAAUCAAACCGGGAGAUAGCUGGUUCUCCCCGAAAGCUAUUUAGGUAGCGCCUCGUGAAUUCAUCUCCGGGGGUAGAGCACUGUUUCGGCAAGGGGGUCAUCCCGACUUACCAACCCGAUGCAAACUGCGAAUACCGGAGAAUGUUAUCACGGGAGACACACGGCGGGUGCUAACGUCCGUCGUGAAGAGGGAAACAACCCAGACCGCCAGCUAAGGUCCCAAAGUCAUGGUUAAGUGGGAAACGAUGUGGGAAGGCCCAGACAGCCAGGAUGUUGGCUUAGAAGCAGCCAUCAUUUAAAGAAAGCGUAAUAGCUCACUGGUCGAGUCGGCCUGCGCGGAAGAUGUAACGGGGCUAAACCAUGCACCGAAGCUGCGGCAGCGACGCUUAUGCGUUGUUGGGUAGGGGAGCGUUCUGUAAGCCUGCGAAGGUGUGCUGUGAGGCAUGCUGGAGGUAUCAGAAGUGCGAAUGCUGACAUAAGUAACGAUAAAGCGGGUGAAAAGCCCGCUCGCCGGAAGACCAAGGGUUCCUGUCCAACGUUAAUCGGGGCAGGGUGAGUCGACCCCUAAGGCGAGGCCGAAAGGCGUAGUCGAUGGGAAACAGGUUAAUAUUCCUGUACUUGGUGUUACUGCGAAGGGGGGACGGAGAAGGCUAUGUUGGCCGGGCGACGGUUGUCCCGGUUUAAGCGUGUAGGCUGGUUUUCCAGGCAAAUCCGGAAAAUCAAGGCUGAGGCGUGAUGACGAGGCACUACGGUGCUGAAGCAACAAAUGCCCUGCUUCCAGGAAAAGCCUCUAAGCAUCAGGUAACAUCAAAUCGUACCCCAAACCGACACAGGUGGUCAGGUAGAGAAUACCAAGGCGCUUGAGAGAACUCGGGUGAAGGAACUAGGCAAAAUGGUGCCGUAACUUCGGGAGAAGGCACGCUGAUAUGUAGGUGAAGUCCCUCGCGGAUGGAGCUGAAAUCAGUCGAAGAUACCAGCUGGCUGCAACUGUUUAUUAAAAACACAGCACUGUGCAAACACGAAAGUGGACGUAUACGGUGUGACGCCUGCCCGGUGCCGGAAGGUUAAUUGAUGGGGUCAGCGCAAGCGAAGCUCUUGAUCGAAGCCCCGGUAAACGGCGGCCGUAACUAUAACGGUCCUAAGGUAGCGAAAUUCCUUGUCGGGUAAGUUCCGACCUGCACGAAUGGCGUAAUGAUGGCCAGGCUGUCUCCACCCGAGACUCAGUGAAAUUGAACUCGCUGUGAAGAUGCAGUGUACCCGCGGCAAGACGGAAAGACCCCGUGAACCUUUACUAUAGCUUGACACUGAACAUUGAGCCUUGAUGUGUAGGAUAGGUGGGAGGCUUUGAAGUGUGGACGCCAGUCUGCAUGGAGCCGACCUUGAAAUACCACCCUUUAAUGUUUGAUGUUCUAACGUUGACCCGUGAUCCGGGUUGCGGACAGUGUCUGGUGGGUAGUUUGACUGGGGCGGUCUCCUCCUAAAGAGUAACGGAGGAGCACGAAGGUUGGCUAAUCCUGGUCGGACAUCAGGAGGUUAGUGCAAUGGCAUAAGCCAGCUUGACUGCGAGCGUGACGGCGCGAGCAGGUGCGAAAGCAGGUCAUAGUGAUCCGGUGGUUCUGAAUGGAAGGGCCAUCGCUCAACGGAUAAAAGGUACUCCGGGGAUAACAGGCUGAUACCGCCCAAGAGUUCAUAUCGACGGCGGUGUUUGGCACCUCGAUGUCGGCUCAUCACAUCCUGGGGCUGAAGUAGGUCCCAAGGGUAUGGCUGUUCGCCAUUUAAAGUGGUACGCGAGCUGGGUUUAGAACGUCGUGAGACAGUUCGGUCCCUAUCUGCCGUGGGCGCUGGAGAACUGAGGGGGGCUGCUCCUAGUACGAGAGGACCGGAGUGGACGCAUCACUGGUGUUCGGGUUGUCAUGCCAAUGGCACUGCCCGGUAGCUAAAUGCGGAAGAGAUAAGUGCUGAAAGCAUCUAAGCACGAAACUUGCCCCGAGAUGAGUUCUCCCUGACUCCUUGAGAGUCCUGAAGGAACGUUGAAGACGACGACGUUGAUAGGCCGGGUGUGUAAGCGCAGCGAUGCGUUGAGCUAACCGGUACUAAUGAACCGUGAGGCUUAACCUUACAACGCCGAAGCUGUU
rnacentral:rRNA from 1 species